rnacentral:piRNA from 1 species
UGAAGGAUCUUUGGAAAGCUGGACUGGCC